rnacentral:lncRNA from 1 species
AUUGCCUCUCAGGGGACCAAAAAGCCAGCAGACAUCAUUGAGAUUCCCUGCCCCAUAAGCACAGUGGCAGAGUCACCUGCUGAGGGUGGCUAACCUGGACUCAUCCUUUUAACACACUUCACUCUAAACUCCAAGCUCCUGCGCAUUGGUGCCAAUGUCCUUCUAGGACAAAGUAGCACCAGACCCAGUGUGGCAAGAUCCUUCCUCAGAGGAUGAGUGUCAUGCCAGGUCCCCAAAGUUUGGAAUUUUGAAACUCAUUCAGCAAGCCUGAAAUAAAAUUUAAAUGCAGAUAGCUACUGGUGGGCAGAUGGCCCAGACACAGAGAGGGGGAAGGCAUGGACCUGAGGGACACUUGGGACACAGGAGGAAAGAUUGUUCACUCUUCUGUGAGGGCUUCCUGGACAGUGGCAGAACUGAACUGUCCUCUCUAGGGAUGAGGAAUAGGGCUGUUGCCAUUUUUCUUCCCUGCUGAUCAGCACAGACUGACUUCAGAAAGCAGCACAAUGUCAAUAGUGGAGGCCUGAGCCACUUACACCAAGCCCUGCCCCCCUGCACUGUGCAGGUGCUUCUUUACUAUGGCAAGUGUGCCUGAGGGUCAGAGCAUCAGACUCCCAAGAAGACCAGCCCAAACCCCUUGCACGCAUCAAGUCUACUGACCACAGAAUGCUGCGAAGCUUCAGCUCUAGUUGAAAUAGGAUCAGGGCUCUUUUAACAAACAUACCAGAGCUCACCUAGUUACUUACCACUCUGGACAAGUCCCAAACACUCCUCACUGCAGGCAAGUAGAAACACUGCAGAGGACUGGCCUGAAAAUAGCCAAAACUGUGCUACUUUGUGUAGCAAAGUGCACACAGCACACACGGGAAACACUUCCUAAAGCAACAGGUCUGGGACAGUAGAUGACCUCUUCUUUAUAAAAUCAUUACUCUCAGGAGCAGGAAUAUUAGGCUCUCCUAAUAUACAGAAUAAUAGAGAGACCUAGACAAAAUACCAAAUGGAGGAAUUCAUCCCAAAAGAAAGAACUAGAAAAUGUCAUAGGAGGUCAAGGCCAGGGAUCUAAUUGAAACAGAUAUAAGUAAUAUGCCUGAUCUGAAUUUUAAAACAACAACCAUAAGGAUACAAGCUGGGCUUGAGAAAAGUACAGACACCAAGGAGUUCCUUACCAUGGAGAUAAAAGACCUAAAAACUAGUCAAGUGGAAACAAGAAAUGCUAUAACCAAGAUGUGAAACUGACUGGAUGUAAUGACCACAAGGAUGGAAGAAGCAGAGGGGGGAUCCCUGGGUGGCGCAGCGGUUUGGCGCCUGCCUUUGGCCCAGGGCGCAAUCCUGGAGACCCAGGAUCGAAUCCCACGUCGGGCUCCCGGUGCAUGGAGCCUGCUUCUCCCUCUGCCUAUGUCUCUGCCUCUCUCUCUCUGUGACUAUCAUAAAUAAAUAAAAAUUAAAAAAAAAAAGAAGAAGAAGCAGAGGAACUGAUAUGUGAUAUAGAAGAUAAAAUUAUGGAAAGUAAUGAAGCUGAAAA